CUCCUCUUUCAUACCUGUCUUUAUUUGGCUUCUCCCCAGCUGCCACCCAUCUCUGUAAUCCUGUCCUUGGGGCUUCCUCUUCCACUGAAGUCAUGGAUGAUUCUAAACAUACUCAUUGGAAAGUCUUUCAAAUUGCUGCAUAGAAAGAAAUUCAUUUAAGAUCCUACUGGUAAAUCCACACCCACAAGAGGGCUGGACACCGGGGAAGGAAGAGAACAAGAGAGACGGCCCAGAGACAGCAACUCCCGCCCGAGAACAGGGAGCUUCCCAAGCAUCUCUAAGGUCCGUCUUUUAGAUUUUUUUUUUAGUUGCAGAUGGACACAAUAACUUUAUUUAUUUAUUAUUUUUCUGUGGUUCCUGAGGAUCAAACCCAGUGCCUCACAUGCUCUAUCACUGAGCUACAGCCCCAGCCCCGGCAUCUAUAAGUUUUGGGAACAGAGGCUGUGGGACCCAGGGCCAAGCAGGUGGGAAAAUGUCCAAAUGUUUCCAUGAAAAGCACAGCUUUACUGUUGUUUGGAAAGUGAAAUAGAGUAUUAGCCCCUCCCCGCCCCCUUAAAAAAAAGGUGCAUUUUCACAUUUGAAAGAGGUUUUGGAACAAAAGGGGAAGUGCUUCUUGACACUGAAGAGUUCACCUUUUUUACUUUGUUAUAUAAAGUGGAAAAACCAUGUGCACGCAGGGAAAGUUUUGGGGUCACCCCGUCUUGGUGAGGACUCCAUGUUCCUCUUCAGGACACCCUCUGGUGCCUGCGAAGACAGAGCCCUCUGCAGAUCAUGGUGUCCACCGGUGUGAGAGUCACUGUGUUUUGUCCUUUGGAAUUCUGAGAACAGGAUCAUGUUCCAUUUGGUUGAAGGUUGAGUACGAUCAUAUACUUUCCUAAAAAGAUUAGUGUCAUAAAAGUACUUUAAAAAUGAAUUAUCUCACAGCUUUCUUCAUUAGGGAGGAUAUCUUUGUUCACACCAAAACACCUACACAGACCUUUUCCUCCACCUCUACACGGGAGUCGAAAACCAGUGGAACCCGCGGCCAGGCUACCAGGGAGCGCUGUGAAUCGUGGGCUGUUUUCCUGUGGUCUCCAGCGUCACAUGCAGGCCCUCCGCUGAGGGGAGACCCACAUGGUGGGAAGACACGUCGCAUGGCUUGGAUCCCCGAGUUUCUUCUGGCUGGUCAGGGUCGAUGUUGGAAUGACAGCAGAAGCUUCCGGCACUUCUCCAGGCUCUCCCUGAAGUGAACCGUGAGCGGAACGCAGGGGCUUUGGGACUCCAGCCGAGAAAUCCUGUAUCCUGCUUAUGUUCUGUAAAUAAGAGACGCACUCCAGGGCACACUCGCCCUCCACUCACACGCUCACCCACGCCCGCUCAUCACACGUUCCUUCCCUCACACACACACACACACACACACACACACACACCUGCUCACACAACACUCUAACACACUCGCUCCUUCACACACUCUCACACCUGCUCUCUCAUACACAAUCUCACACUUAUGCUCUCAUACCCACUACACACACCUACCUGCUCAGGCACUGCCCGUACCUGUUCACUCACACACUCACUCCUUACACACUCACUCAUGCGUACCCGCUCACUUUCCACACUCUCACACCAGCACACACACUGCACCUUGUCAUGCUCCAGUCAACCUCUCAGCAGCCAUGGUGUGGAGACCAGGACAACAGGCGCUGAGGCAGCAGCUCUGGCCGCCUCCCGACGCCGAGAAGCUCCUGGCCACCGAGGGAUGGGGGAAAGGUGGCGGGCAGCAAGAGGGCUUCUGACGCAGUCACAGAAGGCAGCCACCCUGGGCUGGCCGAGUGGGCGCACGGUGUUGCUGAGACCACCUCUCCAUGGCCAGCACGGGCAGCGGGCAGCUCACGAGCCCCAAGUGGGGUCCGUCGGCCUCAUCUUCUUCUCUCUGGGUGUGGUUGGUUCCAGGGGGGCGGUGGUCACAGGGCCAGCCUUCAAGGCAGAGAACAAGUCAGAGGAGGUGAGCAGACGAUGGAGCCUGGGUGAAGGCCAGUGGUGGGAGGAGGCGAUGAGCAGGGGACAGUGAAGAGGGUGACUCGCGUGGGUCAGACACGGGCAGGGGCACUGGCACCUUCCUGGGCUAGACAAGCCUAGUCUGGGCGUCCUCAAGACAGGAGGCCAUAGGCCAACUUGGAAUAGGAAGGAAUGCCUUUCAAUUAAGAGGCUUCCUCAAGUUGGUGACUUUGGAGGGAGAUCUAAGACCGACGGGAAAGAACAGAGCCAGAUAGCUCCGUCCAUGUGCCGAUGGCCCUGGAGAGGUUCGCUGGUUUUCCUGCCUCUGACCAACGUCGACAGAUGAGACAGGCAGAGGUCCAACUCCAUAAGCAACGUUGAUCUGACCCUCCUCCUUACUUGGGAGAAAAGAGGACCUUUAACAAAAGCCAGCCCAACCCUGACUUGGAAAGUCCAUCAUUGUAAGUGACAGGAGGCCAGCCGAGCAGUUAAAUAGCCCUGCUUCAGCACUGACCGUGUGAGACCUGAACACCAGCACGUUUCCUCUGUGUGGUAGGAGGGAGUCAGGCACCCCACUUUCGAGGUCAGACAGAAAAAUAACUAUGUUGGCAUUCCCAUGUCAAACAGAGCAUGUGGAUACUAAGAGAGGAGGGACUUCCCAUUUAAGGCACUUCCUCGUCAGUGAUGAACACAGCUCUGGUUAAUUGAAGCAGAAAAGAAAUUUGUUAAGGGGCCAUUGUCUAGCUCCAAGAAUGGAGGCAUGGGGUUGGGAGACUGAUUGACAGGCUACCCAGGCAGGAAGAAUGCUGGGGAACAGAAUCCUCAUGACGGGCCCCAACAGAGUCCACACCACACAGCUGACAUAGAGAAGACCCUGGACGGGGAGGCAGGAGGCUGCCCCAGACCUGCCCCCGCCUCUGGCAUGGAGUUGCUUUGCCGAGGGCGGGCACACAGCCUGGCCCUUGUACUUCCCCUGUCAGCCACCUGCAGCCAGAUCCGAUACCGCCUCACUCGUGGGGAAUUUCCCAGCAGCAGGGCCAGGUGCCAGAUGGCCAAAAGCAGCCUGACAAAAGUCUACUGUGGGGCUGGGAUAUAGCUCAGUUGAUAGGGUGCUCGCCUCGCAUGCACAAGGCCCUGGGUUCAACCCCUACACCACCACACAAAAAAAAAGGUCACUGUGGCAGGAGAACUGUGAAAGUCCAGAGGGCACCGUGAGCAGGUCCGGAGAGAGCAGGAGAGUGUCCACAUGGCAUUGGGAGAACCACAUGAGUAUUCAGUCAGGCACUCAUAUCAGCCACACCAGGGGUCCAGCAAACCACAGUGCCCUGCCCUUCACCAUGCUGUUAAACUUGCUGGGUAGGGGGACUCCCGUAGCAUUAAGGACGGUUACUGAACGGAGAAGGAAGAACCAGCCUCCCAUACGUCACAUGCACUGUUUCAGGUAUGUGCAUUAUAUGCCUGUAUUAGUCUCCCAGCGCUGCUAUAAAAAGUCAGCACAGAGAGUGGCCAAGGCUCCCUGUGCUGAUAAAGCCAAAGGCUCCGUGCUAGGAAGACGGAGGGUGGUAUUAACUGUCAUCAGGUCCGGAGAAAGAGGGCCCAGGAAAUGAGGUUCCUCGUACAGACUCCUGCAUUUUGCCAUUGAGCUUCUGGAAGGCUGGUCGUGGCUGAGAGGACAAUUGCCCUUAUGGUUUUUCAAUGCAGACGUGUCCCUUUGAGAUUUAGGUCAGAGUGGGAAGUGGGGAGGAGGGACGGCUGACCUUUGUGCUAGGUGUGGCCUGCUAUAUCACUCCGGGCAGAGCUAAGCUGGCAUUUCUCUUGGACACAACAGCACCAGACAACUGUUCAGACUGCGGACGUUGGUCCUCCCAGCCCGAGAUCCGCCAUGUCCAGUGCCAAGCCCUCUGCUUCUCUGUGGCUCCCACUGGGCAGAUAUGGACAACAGCUACACAGGGG
rnacentral:lncRNA from 1 species